rnacentral:rRNA from 1 species
CGGCAUGCUUUACACAUGCAAGUCGAACGGCAGCGCGGGGCAACCUGGCGGCGAGUGGCGAACGGGUCAGUAAUACAUCGGAACGUACCCAGAAGUGGGGGAUAACGUAGCGAAAGUUACGCUAAUACCGCAUACGUUCUACGGAAGAAAGUGGGGGAUCUUUGGACCUCAUGCUUUUGGAGCGGCCGAUGUCUGAUUAGCUAGUUGNNNNNGUAAAGGCUCACCAAGGCGACGAUCAGUAGCUGGUCUGAGAGGACGACCAGCCACACUGGGACUGAGACACGGCCCAGACUCCUACGGGAGGCAGCAGUGGGGAAUUUUGGACAAUGGGCGCAAGCCUGAUCCAGCAAUGCCGCGUGAGUGAAGAAGGCCUUNNGGUUGUAAAGCUCUUUUGUCAGGGAAGAAACGGCUGGGGCUAAUAUCCCCGGCUAAUGACGGUACCUGAAGAAUAAGCACCGGCUAACUACGUGCCAGCAGCCGCGGUAAUACGUAGGGUGCAAGCGUUAAUCGGAAUUACUGGGCGUAAAGCGUGCGCAGGCGGUUUUGUAAGUCUGACGUGAAAUCCCCGGGCUCAACCUGGGAAUUGCGUUGGAGACUGCAAGGCUGGAGCCUGGCAGAGGGGGGUAGAAUUCCACGUGUAGCAGUGAAAUGCGUAGAGAUGUGGAGGAACACCGAUGGCGAACGCAGCCCCCUGGGUCAAGACUGACGCUCAUGC